rnacentral:tRNA from 1 species
UCUAAUAUGGCAGAAUAGUGCAUUGGAUUUAAGACCCAAAUAUAAAGCGCCAGCUUUUUUUAGAA